GAUGAACGCUGGCGGCGUGCCUAAUACAUGCAAGUCGAGCGAACAGACGAGGAGCUUGCUCCUCUGACGUUAGCGGCGGACGGGUGAGUAACACGUGGAUAACCUACCUAUAAGACUGGGAUAACUUCGGGAAACCGGAGCUAAUACCGGAUAAUAUAUUGAACCGCAUGGUUCAAUAGUGAAAGACGGUUUUGCUGUCACUUAUAGAUGGAUCCGCGCCGCAUUAGCUAGUUGGUAAGGUAACGGCUUACCAAGGCAACGAUGCGUAGCCGACCUGAGAGGGUGAUCGGCCACACUGGAACUGAGACACGGUCCAGACUCCUACGGGAGGCAGCAGUAGGGAAUAUUCCGCAAUGGGCGAAAGCCUGACGGAGCAACGCCGCGUGAGUGAUGAAGGUCUUCGGAUCGUAAAACUCUGAUAUUAGGGAAGAACAAAUGUGUAAGUAACUAUGCACGUCUUGACGGUACCUAAUCAGAAAGCCACGGCUAACUACGUG
rnacentral:rRNA from 1 species